rnacentral:lncRNA from 1 species
GGUUCAUUCAUGUAGGGUCUUGUAGGUCACAGUAGGAUAGUAAGAAAUUUUCUCUCUUCUCUGAGUGUCUUGUGAAACUACUGCAAUGAUUUUCAGCAGAGAAAUGGCAUGCUCUGUCUACUGUGUGAAAAACAGAUUGACAUGAAGCAAAAACAGGAGCAAAAGGACCAGUAAGAAGGGCAUUGCAAGUUUCAGAACACAGCACACAAGAAAAGGUGUCUGUCUUUCCUGUGUAAUGGACAGGUUUUGAAUCGUGGGCCCAGAAGGAUUGUCUGAAUUAUAAGGAAUGUCCAUUUGUGCUUUAGCAACUUGAAGCUUCAGUGAAAAGAAUCAGAACACAGAGAAAACUUGCUGCUAGGACAAAAAUGAAGGAAAGAAUCAUCCCAGGAUGGUGAUACUCGGGUUACAGGCUCACAGGCAGAAGGGACUUGGCCUUUCUCAGAUGAGACUUUGGACUGUGGACUUCAGAGGUAAUGCUGAAAUGAGUUGACUUUGGGGGGACUGUUGGGAUGGCAUGAUUGGUUAUGAAAUGUGAUGACAUGAGAUUUUGGGAGGAGCCAGCUACCGCUCAUAAGGUUUCACUCUCUGUCCCCACUCAAAUCUCAUCUUGAAUUGUACUCCCAUAAUUCCCAUGUGCUAUGUGAGGGACGCAGUGAGAGAUAAUUGAAUCAUGGGGGCAGUUUCCCUCAUACUGUUCUUGUGGUAGUGAAUAAGUUUCAUGAGAUCUGAUGGUUUUAUCAGGGGAAACCCCUUUCAUUGGCUCUCAUUCUUUUUGUUACCACCACCAUGUAAGAAGUGCCUUUCACCUUCCACCUUGAUUGUGAGGUCUCCC